GCCUGCUAGUCAUGCUGACCACAGCCGCCCAGGCAUGGGUGACGGGGCUACCGAGGUACACCAUCAACAGUUGGUUCGAACUGAAGGGGCAGUU
rnacentral:snoRNA from 17 species